rnacentral:lncRNA from 1 species
GGAACCAAGACUUCCAGGGAAGGGGAGAGACUGGCGCUUCCAGCAGGUCACAGACAGACAGAUGUCUCCUUGAGCAUGAAUUAGAGGUGUGGUUGAAUGUGGGAGAACCUGAGAUCUGAUGCCCAACAUUGUGUGAAGGGGCCCAGUGGGGACAUGACGAGCUCUGUGCUCACAGGUGGCAGCUCCCCAUUCCAAGCCAAGCUGCACAUGACUCCAGGAGCCUUUCCUGAACACACAGGCGCCAUGGUGAAUUCACCACGUGUUCUAUGUCUCCUUUCCCCUGUGUGCUCAGCAAGAGUUUCAGCCCCAGGAACAUGGAUCUUACGUGGUAUAUUUUACUCCUCAACACUUGAUCAUAGUCACUAAAAGUACUUGUGAGAUAAAUCUUCCUGGUGACACUUUGUGCACUUGAGUUUUACAAGCUAAGACAGUCAACGAUGGCGCAGAAAUGAGGAUCCAGAAGUUGGUGGGCCUCCUGAAUAGAGGAUUUUCAUCCUGUGCUUUGCCCUUCAGAGGGAUGCGGGUGUCACAGGUCCACGGUCCUAUGGCUUUCUGCUCCUACUUUGGCACUCACCUGCCUAUUUCUCUCAUAGACACACACUCUCUGUGCUGCAACUUCAUUCUCAUGCCUGGUACCACACCUAGAGAGUGCCACUAUGCAGUAAAGUGCUCAGUGGAUGACGUGGUUUUCAUUCAGUUUAAUGAAACUGAGGUCGAACUUUCGAAUAACAUGGGAAAAACAGCAGAUGCCACCAACGUAUUGACAGAAUUCAAUCGAAUCCUGAUAAGUGUUUUAGGAUUGUUGAAUCUACUACUACUUGACAUGAAAACAGAGACCAGAGGAGAUCACAUCUUACAGGGCACCAUGAUAACUCAGUGUACACAAGGCCAACUCACUAAUGCUUUCUAUAACCUCACCAUUGAUGGACAUCCUUUCGCAAGCUUCAAUUCAAUUAGCAAGAAUUGGACAGUGUAUAACAAUGAUACCAUAAGGACAUGGAAGAUAAACAGAGAACUAGAACGGGCUCUCAGGACGUUCUCCAUGGGAGAUUCCCUUCAGUGGCUCAACAGAUUCUCACCACACCGGGAAGAAAGGCCAAGUAAGUCAUUAGGUGGUUAGGGCAAAGCGACGU